UAAUGUAGUCCCCCAAGUCUUCGGUCAAUAGAGUCUAUUGGCUGGAGACUUCAAAUUGAAUCCAUGUAUGGGCCGAAGUGGCGGUUGUUCGGAGGCAGUAUUUGUAUACCCUGCACUGAAGCUUUGUAGGUGAAGCUUUGCAAGUGAAGCUUUGUAGGUGAAGCUUUGCUAGUGAAGCUUUGAAGCUGGAGCUCUGUAAAUGAAGCUUUUGAAGCUAGAGCUUUUGUAAAUGAAGCUUUUGAAGCUAGAGCUUUGUAAAUGAAGCUUUUGAAGCUAGAGCUUUAGUAAAUGAAGCUUUUGAAGCUGAUUGACAUGAGUGAUGCUCAUGAAUGUUUAUGUUGAUUGAUAUGAGUAAUGCUCAUGGAUGUUGACAUAAGUGAUGCUCAUAAAUGUUGACAUGAGUGAUGCUCAUGAAUGUUUAUGUAUGAUUGAUAUGAGUAAUGCUCAUGAAUGUUUAUGUUGAUUGAUAUGAGUGAUGCUCAUGGAUGUUGACAUGAGUGAUGCUCAUGAAUGUUGACAUAAGUGAUGCUCAUGAAUGUUUAUGUAUGAUUGAUAUGAGUAAUGCUCAUGAAUGUUUAUGUAUGAUUGACAUGAGUAAUGCUCAUGUAUAAUUUGAAGUAGUGGGCAUACUUUUGAUCACCUGGUUGGUGAUAAUAAUAGCAGG
rnacentral:lncRNA from 1 species